UACGAAGGGGGCUAGCGUUGUUCGGAAUCACUGGGCGUAAAGCGCACGUAGGCGGAUUCUUAAGUCAGGGGUGAAAUCCCGAGGCUCAACCUCGGAACUGCCUUUGAUACUGGGGAUCUUGAGUUCGGGAGAGGUGAGUGGAAUUGCGAGUGUAGAGGUGAAAUUCGUAGAUAUUCGCAAGAACACCAGUGGCGAAGGCGGCUCACUGGCCCGAUACUGACGCUGAGGUGCGAAAGCGUGGGGAGCAAACAGG
rnacentral:rRNA from 1 species